rnacentral:misc_RNA from 1 species
GCAAACUUGGUCAUUUAGAGGAAGUAAAAGUCGUAACAAGGUUUCCGUAGGUGAACCUGCGGAAGGAUCAUUAAUGAUUUUUUAAGCAUACCAAGCUUUUAAUAAAAAAAGCGAGGUUUUGCGAAUAUAUUUAAAACCCCCACUCUUAAUUUAAUUUUUUCAAUUCAUUAUAUAAAUGAAUAAAAAAAGAUCACUUUCAACAACGGAUCUCUUGGCUCUCGCAUCGAUGAAGAACGCAGC